GAAACUUAGGUUAUUUUCAAACCAGGGGUCUUCAAAACCCCAAAAAGA
rnacentral:tRNA from 1 species